rnacentral:rRNA from 1 species
UCCAGACUCCUACGGGAGGCAGCAGUGGGGAAUAUUGGGCAAUGGGCGCAAGCCUGACCCAGCAAUGCCGCGUGAAGGAAGAAGGCUUUCGGGUUGUAAACUUCUUUGACAGGGGAAGAGCAGAAGACGGUACCCUGAAAACAAGCCACGGCUAACUACGUGCCAGCAGCCGCGGUAAUACGUAGGUGGCAAGCGUUGUCCGGAUUUACUGGGUGUAAAGGGCGUGCAGCCGGGCUGACAAGUCAGAUGUGAAAUCCCGCGGCUCAACCGCGGAACUGCAUUUGAAACUGUUGGUCUUGAGUAUCGGAGAGGCAGGCGGAAUUCCUAGUGUAGCGGUGAAAUGCGUAGAUAUUAGGAGGAACACCAGUGGCGAAGGCGGCCUGCUGGACGACAACUGACGGUGAGGCGCGAAAGCGCGGGGAGCAAACAGGAUUAGAUACCCGUGUAC